rnacentral:tRNA from 1 species
UCUCGGAUAGUUCAGCGGUAGAAUGUCUGACGAGAAGACGGGGGUUCGAGUCCCUCUCCGAGGC